rnacentral:rRNA from 1 species
CCUACGGGUGGCUGCAGUCGAGAAUCAUUCACAAUGGGGGAAACCCUGAUGGUGCGACGCCGCGUGGGGGAAUGAAGGUCUUCGGAUUGUAAACCCCUGUCAUGUGGGAGCAAAUUAAAAAGAUAGUACCACAAGAGGAAGAGACGGCUAACUCUGUGCCAGCAGCCGCGGUAAUACAGAGGACUCAAGCGUUGUUCGGAAUCACUGGGCGGAAAGCGUGCGUAGGCUGUUUUGUAAGUCGGGUGUGAAAGGCGCGGGCUCAACCCGCGGAGGGCAGAUGAUACUGGGAGACUAGAGUAAUGGAGAAGGAACCGGAAUUCGCGGUGUAGCAGUGAAAUGCGUAGAUAUCGAGAAGAACACUCGUGGCGAAGGCAGGUUCCUGGACAUUAACUGACGCUGAGGCACGAAGGCCAGGGGAGCGAAAGGGAUUAGAUACCCCUGUAGUC